ensembl:lncRNA
GUUUCUGAAGAGAAAACGUGUGAUUUUUACAUAAAUGGGGGAUUUGCGAAGAGAAAAUGUGUGUUUUUCGCUUAAAUGGGGGAUUCGCGAAGAGAAAACGCGUGAUUUUUGCAUAACUGGGGGAUUUGAGAAGAGAAAAUGUGUGUUUUUCGCAUAAAUGGGGGAUUUGCAAAGAGAAAACGCAUGACUUUCGCUUCAAUGGGAAAUUCGCGAAGAGAAAACUCGUGAUUUUUGCAAACCUGGGGGAUUUGAGAAGAGAAAAUGGGUUUUUUUUCGCAUAAAUGGGGGAUUUGCAAAGAGAAAACGCAUCAUUUUCGCUUAAAUGGGGGAUUCUCGAGGGAAAAAGCGUGAUUUUCUGGUUAAGUGGGGGAUUUGCGAAUAGAAAACGCGAGAUUUUUGCUUACAUGGGGGAUUUGCGAGGAGAAAACGCAUCAUUUUCGCAUAAAUGGGGGAUUCUCGAAGGGAAAACGCGUGAUUUUCUGGUUAAAUGGGGGAUUUGCGAAUAGAAAACGUGAUUUUUGCUUCAAUGGGGGAUUUUUGAAGAGAAAAGGCGUGAUUUUUGCAAACCUGGAGGAUUUGAGAAGAGAAAAUGCGUGUUUUUUCGCGUAAAUGGGGGAUUUGCAAAGAGAAAACGCAUCA